UACGUAGGGUGCAAGCGUUGCCCGGAUUUACUGGGCGUAAAGGGCGCGUAGGCGGCCAGCACAAGUCGGUUGUGAAAUCUCCGGGCUUAACUCGGAAAGGUCAACCGAUACUGUGCGGCUAGAGUGCGGAAGGGGCAACUGGAAUUCUCGGUGUAGCGGUGAAAUGCGUAGAUAUUGGGAGGAACACCAGUGGCGAAGGCGGCUCACUGGACCGGUACUGACGCUGAGGCGCGAAAGCGUGGGGAGCAAACGGG
rnacentral:rRNA from 1 species